AUUGAACGCUGGCGGCAGGCCUAACACAUGCAAGUCGAGCGAGCGGCGGACGGGUGGGUAAGGUCUGGGCCUCUGCCUGAUGGAGGGGGUUAACUACUGGAAACGGUAGCUAAUACCGCAUACCUUCAGAUGAGCCCAGAUGGGAUUAGCUUGGAGGUGGGGUAACGGCUCACCAAGGCGACGACCCCUAACUGGUCGGAGAGGAUGAUCAGCCACACUGGAACUGAGACACGGCCCAGACUCCUACGGGAGGAAGCAGUGGGGAAUAUUGAACAAUGGGCGCAAGCCUGAUGCAGCCAUGCCGCGUGUAUGAAGAAGGCCUUCGGGUUGUAAAGUACUUUCAGCGGGGAGGCGUUACCCGCAGAAGAAGCACCGGCUAACUCCGUGCCAGCAGCCGCGGUAAUAC
rnacentral:rRNA from 1 species